GCUCACUCCUCCCUUUGCUCAGAGGCAGCGUUUUUGGAAGACACGAUGGCUACCUGCCCUCAGAAGGAAGAUUUACACUCUAGGGUAGAAUAAUUGCUCAAAAACAGACAGAAGAAGAAACAACAACCUGUCUCCGAGGCCUGGAGUUACCCAGGUAUGCAGCACAGUGCAUGGGAGAACCGUCCCACGGGGCCAUGCCAGUGUCUGGGAGAACUCACUCCUGAGAGGGAGAGAGACUGCUCCAAGCCCCUGGAAAGAUGGGCAGAGGUGGGGCCUGCAGCUGGAAAAUGCUGACUGGCAAAGUCUGGCACCAACCAAGUGAGGGAAGA